AGGGAGGAUGUGGACUGCAGGCUCUCUCCAGGGAGUUGCUACAGGCCCCAAUUACAGAGCCACGGCACACAGAGCUCCAGAUGGACUUCAGGCCUCCUGAUGAGCCCAGAUAAGGGACUGCGCCGGCAGGAGCUAGGCCAGUUGAGGACCCCAGAGGCCUGAGGGAAUUGUGGAGCCUCACCAAGAGUGAAAGGGUAGGAAGCAGCCCAGGGGGCUUAGACUUUUCUCCGAAAUUGGUUGGAAUCGUUUUUCAGAAACUCUCCAGAAGUGGCCACCAACCUCCUGCUCUUGCUAUGCAGCUCACACAAAAAUGUCAACAAUAUUUAUGAUCUAAACAGUUCAAUCCUUCCAGCCUUCAGAUUUGUUUACCACAGAAAAAGCUCUCCAAAUAAUGUCUUUAUUAUUGCCGAAAGCUUCUUCUGUUUGGCUUGGUGAUACCUCUUAAAAUGCAUUAAAUUCCUCUCUUCUGUUUAAGCA